UACGGAAGGGGCAAGCGUUGUUCGGAAUCAUUGGGCGUAAAGGGCGUGUAGGUGGUUCUGUAUGUCUACCGUGAAAGCGUACGGCUCAACCGUAUUUAGUCGGUAGAAACUGCAGGACUUGAGGCUGGGAGGGGCUGGUGGAAUUCCCCGUGUAGCGGUGAAAUGCGUAGAGAUGGGGGAGAACACUCGUGGCGAAGGCAGCUCUCUGGGACGGUACUGACGCUGAGACGCGAAAGCGUGGGGAGCGAACAGG
rnacentral:rRNA from 1 species